rnacentral:lncRNA from 1 species
GUUUUCCUGAAAUACACCGUUCAGUUUUGUAAGACAUAAAAGGAUUGCUUGGAUUGUACAGAAAUCUGAAAAUUAGUAUUCUAAGUCCAUUGAGUGAUAGCUGCUAUAAUAUGGAUGCUUCUUCCAUGGCUUCAAUCCACCUCUGUGCUGAAUAGUUAUCAUCUGCUCGGAAGCUAUAAAACAGAGUUUGCUUGUGAUAGAGAUGGAAAACUGUAUCUAUGCAUCCUUC